rnacentral:tmRNA from 1 species
CUUGAAAACAUUAACAACAUGCGGUAUAUUGAUAGUGUUGAGCAAUCAACUGUGACACCAGAGGCUCUGCGAAAUAGAGAUUUCGGACCCGAGGGCAGUACUCGGCACCUCCACCAUUUUUUUGAUUAUACGGGGGUGAAACAGGUUUGACGGGGUUUAGUAAAGGCAGGUGUUGUGUUCGGUGAGAUACCACCGUUAUCGGUUCAAAUUUAAAUAAAUGCUAACGAUAAUGAAUUAGCACCAGUUGCUUUGGCUGCUUAAUUGUAGUCGCAACGAACUCAAAUUCUUGCCGUCUUGGUUGACAGCAAGUGGGGGAUGAGCCACCCAGCAACAGAACGGCU